rnacentral:lncRNA from 13 species
CACAAGCUAUCGGCGUUGGAGGGGAAUUCAAACACAUACCAUAAUUUGAAAGACUUUGAGGGUGAAACGGUAUCCUCCAUUUAUAUUUGUACUGUCAGGGAACAGAGCUAGGAAAAGUAGAGAAUUUAAAUAGCAGGGGUGUUGAUCUGUCCAUCAUUUCAUUUAAUGAGCAUGUACCCCAAAGUGGGUAUGAGAUGCCAGAUGGGAAAAGGAUCUCCUGGGCUCUCCCUGGUCUCUGUGUGCUGAGAUUGAGUCUAUAGGUUAAGAUGAUAGUGUUUUGUACAGUAUGUCCCCAAAUGUCAGGCAGCCUUUUCAUCUUGCCCCUUCAAAUGAAUGAAAAACAAACCGUUCCUAUACUCAAGGGAUGCUGGUGCUGAAAGGAGUAUUUUGUGCAUGUGUGGUUUUUGCCUUUCUCACUGAUUUUAGAACUUAACUUCUCCCACAAAAGGUAUCUCCUUGGACUUCAAAAAAAAAAAUUCAAGCAAAAUUUUAAAACCACACAAAUCUAUAAAAACCAUUAUCAACAUCAUCAUCAGGUGAGAAGUGGGGAGUAGGUCGAGGAAUAGAUAUGACAACACAGAUGCUGGUAAUUGCUGAAGCUGGCAGAAGAUACAGGGAGAGUGAUGCACUAUACUCUUCUGUCUACUUUGUUUAUGUUUGAAUUUUUUGUAAUAAAAACUAAAUAUCUUAAGGCUGGUCUUCUAAUGACCUCAUUUCUAUUAUCUUGAAUUCUAGAAUGCUCACUGGAGUGGGAGAAAGAAGGGUCGAAUAGAGGUCUCGCAAGAGGAAUUGAGUCUAACCCCAUAGGACAGGUUGGUUUAAGUGCUGUGGACUCCACCCCAAGCUACAAAGGUCAUGUGACUGAGGAUGGCCAAUCACACCUCCUUCCUGACUUAGGGUGGUUUAGAUGUUGUGACUUCACCUCCAGCUACAAUGGGCAUGUGACUCAGGAUGGCCAUUCACAGCUCCUUCCUACCUUAGAGCUUCACAGAUGUCAUGUGGCUACAUGGGAACCAAUGGGACAGAUGCGUCAUAGACUUUCACUGGCUUUUUCGAUGGAAAAACAUGCUCUCUUAUUGGAGAUUCCACGGGUCAGGAAGUCAGACAAGGCAUGGUGGGUAAUGAAUUGUCUCUAG